AUUUUAAUGAAAUGAUUCAAUUUAACGCUUAAAAAUAUUUAUUUAAUGGGUAAACUUUAAUUUCAGUUCAAGUAGUCGACCACAAUCCGAGUCACGGUACGCGUAUAGUUCAUUUUAAUGAAAUGAUUCAAUUUAACGUUUAAAAAUAUUGAUUUAAUGGGUAAAUUUUAAUUUCAGUUCAAGUAGUCGACCACAAUCCGAGUCACGUUCAAGUAGUCGACCACAAUCCGAGUCACGUUCAAGUAGUCGACCACAAUCCGAGUCACGGUACGCGUAUAGUUCAUUUUAAUGAAAUGAUUCAAUUUAACGUUUAAAAAUAUUGAUUUAAUGGGUAAAUUUUAAUUUCAGUUCAAGUAGUCGACCACAAUCCGAGUCACG